GACGAACGCUGGCGGCGUGCCUAACACAUGCAAGUCGAACGGUGAACGAGGGAGCUUGCUCCCUCCGGUUCAGUGGCGAACGGGUGAGUAACACGUGAGCAGUCUGCCCCGUACUCUGGGAUAAUCAUUGGAAACGACGUCUAAUACCGGAUAAGACGCCGGAGGGCAUCCUCCCCGCGUGGAAAGAACUUCGGGUCGGGGUGAGCUCGCGGCCUGUCGGCUUGUUGGGGCGGUACCGGCACACCGACGCGACGCCCGGUCGCCGGCCUGAGAGGGUGGACGGCCACGCUGGGACUGGGAGAAGGCCCAGACUCCUACGGGAGGCAGCGGUGGGGAAUAUUACACAAUGGGAGCAAGCCUGGUGCGGCAACGCCGCGUGGGGGAAGACGGCAUUCGGGUUGUAAACCUCUUUUAGCAGGGAAGAAGCGAAAGUGACGGUACCUGCAGAAAAAGCACCGGCUAACUACGUG
rnacentral:rRNA from 1 species